AGUGGAAUUGGUGGGUCAUAUGGUAAGUUUUAUAUUUAAUAUUUUAAGAAGCUGCCAAACUGUCUCUCAGAGUGGCUGUACCAUUUUACAUUUCCAUCAGCAAU
rnacentral:pre_miRNA from 1 species